UACUGAAGUAAGCACCACAUACUUCAUUCUCAGAGAUCUCAGGGCAAGAGCCACACUAGUAUAAUUUACUAGAGGCCCUAAAAAUAAAGGAUUUCCUUUCUAAUGGUAUGAAAGAAUCAGUCAUUAGUUGUAGUUUCUGUCACAAGCGUGAGCAGCAAUAUCACUAAAUAGUACAGAGUCACUUUUUUUUUAAUACUGACUAUUAUUACUUGGGUUUUAAUGAGAAAAUUCUGUCUGCUGAGACACCAAGUUAUAAUCUUUCAAAUGAAACCAAGCUAACAACUAUUCCCAUGAGAAGACAAACCUGCAAGCACUAACUAAGUUAGUGGCUGUCAUGCUUCGCACUUAAUCUUGAAUAUGAUAGAUAGGGAGUGAAACUAAGAGGAAUAGUGAACAACAGAAGAAACCAUUCCUCUAACAUAACUGACUUGUGACAGUGCCUUGAACAUCUUUCUUUGCAUUCAAACCAAAGUAAGUUAAAGCAACUUAGUCCUUUGAAAGUGCCAAAUGUAAGAUUUGCACAGCUUUUUUCACCGUGAGAACUUCUAAGCCCAGACACCUGCAUCAGGCAGGUUCUCAGGGGGAACCCAAGUGAGGAAUAAAGAAGUCAGCCAGAGCAUUGCCAUGCUGCAGCAAGAGCAGGUCUGCAGCAGCUUGGGGCACUCACAGGGUUGAUCCCUGUUUGGUGGAGACAGCACCUACUCCUGUCACACAGAGAUAUGAGGUGCUUCACAGACCGAGCACCUAUUUGCAUGCCAGUGUCAGCAGAUUGCCACCUUGUCUUGUGCUGGUGGUCAGCGUUCAUGGAUUACCACUUUGCAGAGGUCCAAUACAGCUGACCAAGUUGCUAGGAGGACAGCAACCCAGCCAUUUCUACUGCUUAUAGACCAGCACCUUUCAACAUCUGAUUUCCAACAGAAAUGUGCCACAGCAUGAAACUUCAGCUGUGGAUGGCACAGAACCCACAAGCAUGUCUCUGUGCCACUAGCUUUCAUCCCUAGCCUGUGCCAUCCCUACAGCAGCGGUAAGCCAGUCUCAGACCUAUGCUCAACAACAGAGGCUUGUGUGGUGCUGACUGAAUGCAUGUUUUUCGUUCUUUGCGGUUUUCUAGAGAGUAUGGAAGUUUGUUUUCUUCCAAUUCGAAAGCAGAUCGAAGAUACUCAGCAUCUCCAUUUCUCUUGAGGAUGAAGUUCCUGGAAUGGUUGAGCAUUGAGGAGCUGCAAGUGCUUGCCCAAAAGGUGUUCAUGUACACAGAUGUGAAUGGAGAGCAGAUCACAAAGGACAAAAUGGAUAACAACACAUCCAGAUGCCUGGUCAUUGAAGAGCGUGACCUGCUGGCACGGUGGCACCUUCAGCUGCACAUUCCUUUCCAUCCUUUUCUGCUUUAAUUUGUUUGGCUGGAUGACUCUCACAGAGCUGCCUGCAGAUUUCUUAAGACUCGAGUGGAAGGGAACUUGGAAACUGGUCGCUUGACUCAAAGAUGAACAGAUAUACAGGAAACUGGCCCGUGGUGCUGGUGCAGGAGGGCCUGAACUUGCCAAAUCCUUGGUCAGUAGUCAUGUGCUACAUUCCUCUGAAGACUGGGAGAAAAGCACAAACCUCAGCACCAUCUUCUUGGGAUUGCCCUCUGCAAAGGAAAACAGCAGCCCAGCAGCUGGUGGUCCCCACCUUUUACACGUAUAAAUGAGGGACAUUUGAACAUGCUCCUGAAUUGUGUUGCAACCACGACCCAAAAGCAUUCUGGGGCACACACGCUUGGAUACAAUCACAGUGUCUUAAAACAUAUUUAAGUAUGAAGAGCAAAAGGUUGAUAAAUUUCUUCUGGACACUCAUCUCAAGUGUGUGACACCAACUCAGCAGCUGUCACCAUUUUCAAGUUGCAGUGUCUUUAUGUCUGGUGCCCCACCCCAACAAGGUUUGCACACAACCUUUCAGAGAGGAAGAACAGAUACCUGCACUCAGGAGCGCUCAGUGUUGUAAGGGCUAUGCAGCACCCGACGUCAAAGAAAAUAACAGCAGCAUGUUGAAUAACUGGUUUGAUGUGUAUGUUUCACAUAGAUUAUUUUCAGUGGGUCAUCACCCUCCUGUUGUACACUGGUUUCCUAGAAGUGCCCUGAAACAGGCACGUUUGUGGUGAACAAAUAUGAACAUUCCUACAUUUAUCAAAUACAUAACAUUGAUGACACUAGAGAUUUAGCUUGUGUCUGAUUUCACUGCAUAGUCAGACCUGAACUGGAUAGAGAAUUGGUUAGACUUACUCUCAUUUAUAUUUGUUUGUUUUUGUCAGAUCUAUAAGAUACAAAUUGCUACUACAGAGACAAGAAUAAGACAAUGAGAUUUUUCAUCUCACAAAAAGAAAUAGCUGAUCAGGGUUUCACAGAGGGCACUGUGAUCUGCCUGUCUGACAUGCAUGGCCUUGUGUUAAAGAGACUUUUGAAAGUGUUCAUGCUGCUAUUUACUGGGUAUCAAAUUAUGUUUAUGUGCUUUUUAAGAGAAUAAUGUGAGUUUGCCUAUAAUCGCUGUAGAUAGUAUUGAGAUGCCUCAAACAAAGAGUAAAUGGAAAACUUUCGCAAUUCAUUU